CCGCAUCGUCAUGCAGCGCUCAUCCAUGGGCGCUACCCACUUCAUGUUGACGAGCUGUGGGGAGUAGGUCACUCCACCACUGGAGAAUUGGGCUUCUCCCAAUCUAACUCCAUGGUCCACGCACAUCAUCGGAGAAUUGGGCUUCUCCCAAUCUAACCCCGAGAUGGCCACACACUCACAAAUACUAGUCCAGAUGCAACACAACUCAAACCGGCACGAGGGAGCUCCACAACUAACCUCCAUGCAACUCACAUCUAGGCUAAAUACACGACACACACUAUCAAUGCAUGCAACUAACAACACAACCGACAAGAGAGAGUCUCACCCAAAUCCCUUGCGGUGCAACACGCUUUAACAUCUAGAUAAUCAUGCAACAAACGCAACAUGUAUGCAAUCGGCACACACUCUCCCCAGGGCCCUGCACAAAACGGAUUAACUCUUGCCCCGGGGUCUCCACUUGAAAGCCGAUGAUCAAACCUCGUACAUGCAUACAUAAAAUACACACACAAGUCCUUGGAAACCCACCUUGGUUAUGCUCUACAAUGACUAUCCCACACCUCUAUCUAACUCCCCAAAAACGCUUAACAAACAAACCGAAAAACACUCCUAAAUCUCGGUUUCUCUCUCUAUAGGGUGAUCACUC
rnacentral:lncRNA from 1 species